ACACUGGCCUUUUUCAGGGCCACAAAUUAAGAAAAAAAAACAGAA
rfam:Stegodyphus mimosarum contig103683, whole genome shotgun sequence.